AUCGCUUCUCGGCCUUUUGGCUAAGAUCAAGUGUAGUAUCCCCGCGGCAGGAUUACGUCAUAUCGAGCUCUGUAUAUAUUCGCUGUUUCUGGUCGUAAUUCCUGUUAUUGUUUAGAUUUUAUUAUAUAAUUUUGUUUAUAAAGACAAACAGAUUCUACUGGUAUAAAUUUUAUUCAGAUUAUAUUUGGAUUUCUCGUAUAAUUCUGGUUGUGGCUGC